UGGGUGAGUAAUGUCUGGGAAACUGCCUGAUGGAGGGGGAUAACUACUGGAAACGGUAGCUAAUACCGCAUAACGUCGCAAGACCAAAGAGGGGGACCUUCGGGCCUCUUGCCAUCAGAUGUGCCCAGAUGGGAUUAGCUAGUAGGUGGGGUAACGGCUCACCUAGGCGACGAUCCCUAGCUGGUCUGAGAGGAUGACCAGCCACACUGGAACUGAGACACGGUCCAGACUCCUACGGGAGGCAGCAUG
rnacentral:rRNA from 1 species